CGCAUGAAAAAUCUCCGGUUUUUUUUUCAAUAAUACGGUGGAAGAAUUAUAAGAAGUUACAUUUUCAACAGUUACAAUCCAAUCGACGUUAUUCAUUCCACAUGCGAUUUACACGUUAUAAUACAUAUGUAAAUGUAGUGACGCUGGUAAUGCACGUGGAAUGAAUAGCGUCGAUUGGAUUGUAAUUGUUACUUCUUAUAAUUCCGAGACUGUAUAUUUUA